rnacentral:rRNA from 1 species
AUUGAACGCUGGCGGCAUGCCUUACACAUGCAAGUCGAACGGCAGCGCGGACUUCGGUCUGGCGGCGAGUGGCGAACGGGUGAGUAAUACAUCGGAACGUACCCUGUUGUGGGGGAUAACUAGUCGAAAGAUUAGCUAAUACCGCAUACGACAUGAGGGUGAAAGUGGGGGACCGCAAGGCCUCACGCAGCCGGAGGGGCCGGUGUCUGAUUAGCUAGUUGGUGGGGUAAAGGCCCACCAAGGCGACGAUCAGGAGCUGGUCUGAGAGGACGAUCAGCCACACUGGGACUGAGACACGGCCCAGACUCCUACGGGAGGCAGCAGUGGGGAAUUUUGGACAAUGGGGGCAACCCUGAUCCAGCAAUGCCGCGUGUGUGAAGAAGGCCUUCGGGUUGUAAAGCACUUUUGUCCGGAAAGAAAUCGCGCUGGUUAAUACCUGGCGUGGAUGACGGUACCGGAAGAAUAAGCACCGGCUAACUACGUGCCAGCCGCCGCAGUAA